rnacentral:rRNA from 1 species
AUAUGCUUGUCUCAAAGACUAAGCCAUGCAAGUGCCUGUAUGAGUGUUUUUAUAUAACGAAACUGCGAAUGGCUCGGUAAAACAGUAAGAAUUUUUUCGGAGAAAAUACUACUCGGAUAACCGUAGUAGAGCUAGAGCUAAUACGUGCUACAAAAAUGAGGGUGAGCAAUCGCUCUCGUGGUACAAAAUAGACAUACAAUCCAGUUUUUUUCUGGUGAUUCAUACUUUUUUCUGAUCGCACUCUUUGUGUGUGACGCUCCGAUCAAAUUUCUGACCUAUCAACUAUGAUGGUAAGGUAGUGGCUUACCAUAGUUGUGACGGGUAACGGACCGUGGGUGCGGGGUUCCGGACAGGGAGCCUGAGAAACGGCUACCACAUCCAAGGAAGGCAGCAGGCGCGCAAAUUACCCAAUCCGAACUUCGGGAGGUAGUGACAAGAAAUAGCAAUAGGGGGACCAAUGGUCUCUCUAAUUGGAAUGAAAACAAUGUAAACUCCUUAUUGAGGAGCCAGCAGAGGGCAAGUCUGGUGCCAGCAGCCGCGGUAAUUCCAACUCUGUAAGCGUAUACCAAAGUUGUUGCAGUUAAAACGCUCGUAGUCGAACUUUGGCGGUGGUUGCUGAAACUUCGUAAGAAGGUUUGAUGUAGCGCCGUCUUUGUGGAUUAUGAGCAUGUGGUGGUACUUUAUUGUAUUGCUACUUGUUCGCCACUGUUUACUGUGAAAAAAUUAGAGUGUUUAAAGCAAGCGAUUGCCCUGAAUACAUUAGCAUGGAAUAAUAGAAUAGGACCUGAUCCUGUUUUUAUUGGUUUGUCGGUAUCAGGUAAUGAUUAACAGGGACGGUCGGGGGCAUUUGUAUUCCAGCGCGAGAGGUGAAAUUCUUAGACCGUUGGAAGACAAACAGCUGCGAAAGCGUCUGCCAAGGACGUUUUCAUUGAUCAAGAACGAAAGUAAGGGGAUCGAAGACGAUCAGAUACCGUCGUAGUCUUUACUGUAAACUAUGAGGCCUGGGGAUCGGGUGUGGCCAAAUUGGUACGCUCGGCACCCUCCGGGAAACCAAAGCUUUUGCUUUCUGGGGGGAGUAUGGUCGCAAGUCUGAAACUUAAAGGAAUUGACGGAAGGGCAUCACUGGGUGUGGAGCCUGCGGCUUAAUUUGACUCAACACGGGAAAACUUACCAGGGCCAGACAUAGCUAGGAUUGACAGAUUGAGAGCUCUUUCAUGAUUUUAUGGUUGGUGGUGCAUGGCCGUUCUUAGUUGGUGGAGUGAUCUGUCUGGUUAAUUCCGUUAACGAGCGAGACCUGGGCGUAUUAAAUAGAACGUGCUAUAACUGCGGUAGCAACGUGAAUUUUGUUUUUUAAAUUGAUAAAGAAUAAAUUUUAUUCUUCUUAAACGGACUGUAGGCGUAUAGUCUACGGAAGCUCCAGGCAAUAACAGGUCUGAGAUGCCCUUAGAUGUUCUGGGCCGCACGCGUGCUACACUGAAUGGCUCAACGGGUGAGGUAGUGCGAAAGCAUGACCCAAUCUCAAAAACCAUUCGUGAUGGGGAUAGAAGCUUGUAAUUAUCCUUCUUGAACGAGGAAUACCUUGUAAGCGCGAGUCAUCAUCUCGUGCUGAAUACGUCCCUGCCCUUUGUACACACCGCCCGUCGCUCCUACCGAUUGAGUGGUCCGGUGAGGCCUUGGGAGAGCUAGGUGAAUUAGUGUAUUUUGUUCACGAAUCGCUUGGUUCGAACUUGGUCAAACCUUACUACUUAGAGGAAGGAGAAGUCGUAACAAGGUUUCC